GGGGAAUUCUCACAUAAUCACUCUUGCCCACCCUAACAGCCCUUAUUCCUUUCGUGUGAAUAAGGUCUCAAAGAUAUGCUUCGGUUUGCUCUGUGCUGCAUUGGAAAUAUCAGCGUUAAUAAUUGUUUGUGUGACGGAUCCAGAUGUCACUGUCAUUGCCCUGGUGUCUGUGGUAAUAGGGAUUCAUUUCAUAAAACUGGUGAUCUGCUGU